AAUAUUGAAUGAAUUGGUUUCUCUUCUCGGAUGCAAGGAAGGAUAAGAAAACUUAUGGGCUGCCGAUUGAUGUGCCAUGUCAACUUCUCUUAUCCAAUCAACAUAUAUGGGCUGGGCCUGAACACACAAACAAGGAUGCCAGAGAAAUAUCAAGGGUGGGAAGGGCCAAGCUGGACCCAAGUCAUGGGCUGCUCUACCUCAGAUCAGUUGGAUCUGUAUGCAGCCUGCUCCAAGUUUGGAUUGUAUUGGAGAAAUGUGGAGCAACUAGUCUUGGCCAGGAAGUCAAAAGCUCCAGUGUUUCAAAUUUCUGGCAUCACACCCAAAGAUUUCGUUUCAUAUUGCAAAGUGGGUUGCAAGCAUGAUGGUGUAGUGCCCUGAUGGCUUUGGCAGACAGUAACGAGAUAAUGCCCAAGAAACUUUGAAAUUCAGAAGUCCAGCACAUGGAGUUACAGUACUGUUUAACACCCUUUUACUGGUCAGUUCUCUACAUUCAUGGAUCUGGAUCAUUUAAUCAAAUGAAAAGUUUAGCAUUU